ACGUCUACCAGAGCAGUCGACGCCCAGGCCACCACCUCUUGAGCAGGCCGGAGGUUCGUCGUGGCACCGGCCGCAGUCUUCUUUUGACUAUUGGCACCAGCAGCAGCCCUCUUUUGAGGCUGGAGGUUCAGCGUGGCACCAGCAUCAGCCCUCUUUUGAGGCUGGAGGUUCGUCAUGGCAGCACCAGCAGAGUCCCAGGAUGAACUUCGAGUUUCGUCCACAGACCCAGCCACAGGGAGCCUACGGGCAUCAGUCGUCGAUGUCCAAACCCUCGUAGGGUAGUGAGCAGGACUAUUCUGUCCAACACAGCUGGAUGUUCAGUACUCCGCCACCAGACCCCACACAGGAGGAUACACAGUAUCGUGAGGAUGGGUCCGUGAUUCCUCCGCGCAACAUAGUGCCACCUCAUAGGGCGAGAGGCCGAGGAGGAUGAAAGAUGCAAUGUUGCCUCGGGGAGUGGAACAUCUCAGGUGUUGGUGUGGCAAUCUAUGCAAGGUGAAGGAGGUGACAGAUUUUUCAGAUAAGCUGGGCAUGAGGUUUUCAUGUGCGCGAACUAUGA